GCGGGUGUGGUGAAAUCGGUAGACAUGAACCGCUCGCAACGGUUUGGGCGUGAGCCCAUGUGGGUUGAGCUCCGCGGCUGAAGCCGCUCGCUCCGCUUCGCGUCGAAUCCCACCACCCGCA
rnacentral:tRNA from 1 species